rnacentral:rRNA from 1 species
AUUGAACGCUGGCGGCAGGCCUAACACAUGCGAGUCGAACGAGUGGCGGACGGGUGAGUAAUGUCUGGGAAACUGCCCGAAGGAGGGGGAUAACUCCUGGAAACGGUAGCUAAUACCGCAUACCAUUGUAUGUGCCCAGAUGGGAUUAGCUAGUAGGUGGGGUAACGGCUAACCUAGGCGACGAUCCAGAGCUGGUCUGAGAGGAUGACCGGCCACACUGGAAAUGAGACACGGUCCAGACUCCUACGGGAGGCAGCAGUGGGGAAUAGUGCACAAUGGGCGCAAGCCUGAUGCAGCCAUGCCGCGUGUAUGAAGAAGGCCUUCGGGUUGUAAAGUACUUUCAGCGAGGAGGCGUUACUCGCAGAAGAAGCACCGGCUAACUCCGUGCCAGCCGCCGCGGUAAUUC